rnacentral:rRNA from 1 species
GUAAGGAAUAUUGGUCAAUGGACGAAAGUCUGAACCAGCCAUGCCGCGUGGAGGAUGAAGGUCCUCUGGAUUGUAAACUUCUUUUAUAUGGGACGAAAAAAGGCUUUUCUAAGUCGUCUGACGGUACCAUAUGAAUAAGCACCGGCUAACUCCGUGCCAGCAGCCGCGGUAAUACGGAGGGUGCAAGCGUUAUCCGGAUUCACUGGGUUUAAAGGGUGCGUAGGUGGAUUGCCAAGUCCGUGGUGAAAUCUUCGAGCUUAACUCGGAAACUGCCAUGGAUACUGGUGAUCUUGAAUAUCGUGGAGGUUAGCGGAAUAGGUCAUGUAGCGGGGAAGUGCUUAGAUAUGACAUAGAACACCAAUUGCGAAGGCAGCUGGCUACGCGAAUAUUGACACUCAGGCACGAAAGCGUGGGGAGCAAACAGGAUUAGAAACCCGGGUAGUCC